rnacentral:tRNA from 1 species
GGGCAGAUGGCCGAGUGGUCUAAGGCGCUAGUUUUAGGCACUAGUCUUUGGGCGUGGGUUCAAAUCCCACUCUGCUCG